rnacentral:rRNA from 1 species
AUGAACGCUGGCGGCGUGCCUAAUACAUGCAAGUCGAGCGAACAGAUGAGGAGCUUGCUCCUCUGACGUUAGCGGCGGACGGGUGAGUAACACGUGGAUAACCUACCUAUAAGACUGGGAUAACUUCGGGAAACCGGAGCUAAUACCGGAUAAUAUAUUGAACCGCAUGGUUCAAUAGUGAAAGACGGUUUUGCUGUCACUUAUAGAUGGAUCCGCGCCGCAUUAGCUAGUUGGUAAGGUAACGGCUUACCAAGGCAACGAUGCGUAGCCGACCUGAGAAGGUGAUCGGCCACACUGGAACUGAGACACGGUCCAGACUCCUACGGGAGGCAGCAGUAGGGAAUCUUCCGCAAUGGGCGAAAGCCUGACGGAGCAACGCCGCGUGAGUGAUGAAGGUCUUCGGAUCGUAAAACUCUGUUAUUAGGGAAGAACAAAUGUGUAAGUAACUAUGCACGUCUUGACGGUACCUAAUCAGAAAGCCACGGCUAACUACGUG